GGGGGUGUGGCUCAGUGGUAGAGCACUUGCCUAGCAUGCAGGAGGCCCUGGGUUCAAUCCCAGCACCACAA
rnacentral:tRNA from 1 species